AAGUCAGGUGUGAAAGCCUUCUGUUCAAAGGAAGAACGGCAUCUGAAACUGCAGAUCUUGAGUGUAGGAGGGGAGAGUGGAACUUCUGGUGGAGCGGUGAAAUGCGUAGAUAUCAGAAGGAACGUCGGCGGCGAAAGCGACUCUCUGGCCUAUUACUGACACUGAGGUGCGAAAGUUAGGGGAGCAAACGGGAUUAGAUACCCCGGUAGUCCUAACCGUAAACGAUGGGCACUAAGUAGAGGGAAUUACCAAUGUUCUCUCUGCCGUAGCUAACGCAUUAAGUGCCCCGCCUGGGGAGUACGGCCGCAAGGCUAAAACUCAAAAGAAUUGACGGGGGCUCGCACAAGCGGUGGAGCAUGUGGCUUAAUUCGAUGCAACGCGAAAAACCUUACCGGGGUUUGACAUGGUAGAAGUAGGAGCCCGAAAGGGCAACCAACGGUAUCCAGUCCGUAGCUAUUACAGGUGUUGCAUGGCUGUCGUCAGCUCGUGUCGUGAGACGUUGGGUUAAGUCCCCUAACGAGCGAAACCCUUGUUUUUAGUUACCAUCGGGUAGUGCCGGGUACUCUAAAAAGACUGCCGUCGUCAAGACGGAGGAAGGUGGGGAUGACGUCAAGUCAUCAUGGCCCUUAUACCCCGGGCUGCACACGUGCUACAAUGGUCGGUACAAAAGGAAGCAAGA
rnacentral:rRNA from 1 species